rnacentral:rRNA from 1 species
UCGGUUCGGAAUAACAGCGAGAAAUUGCUGCUAAUACCGGAUAAUGACGUAAGUCCAAAGAUUUAUCGCCGAGGGAUGAGCCCGCGUAGGAUUAGCUAGUUGGUGUGGUAAAGGCGCACCAAGGCGACGAUCCUUAGCUGGUCUGAGAGGAUGAUCAGCCACACUGGGACUGAGACACGGCCCAGACUCCUACGGGAGGCAGCAGUGGGGAAUAUUGGACAAUGGGCGAAAGCCUGAUCCAGCAAUGCCGCGUGAGUGAUGAAGGCCUUAGGGUUGUAAAGCUCUUUUACCCGGGAUGAUAAUGACAGUACCGGGAGAAUAAGCUCCGGCUAACUCCGUGCCAGCAGCCGCGGUAAUACGGAGGGAGCUAGCGUUAUUCGGAAUUACUGGGCGUAAAGCGCACGUAGGCGGCUUUGUAAGUUAGAGGUGAAAGCCUGGAGCUCAACUCCAGAAUUGCCUUUAAGACUGCAUCGCUUGAAUCCAGGAGAGGUGAGUGGAAUUCCGAGUGUAGAGGUGAAAUUCGUAGAUAUUCGGAAGAACACCAGUGGCGAAGGCGGCUCACU